rnacentral:sRNA from 1 species
GGUAUUCCUUAUCUGUCUAAUGGGUUAUCUGGAGCCUGUCUCCCUGCGCUUUCAUGCAAAAGCGCACGAAGACAGGCCCAAUCGGUUAGUUGCCUAG